CACACACACACACACACACACACACACACACACACACACAAUGCUCACAUCCAGCCUUUCCCAAUCCCAGUGCAGCCACUGACACACACAUACCGUUCACAUCCUCCCUUCCAUGCCCACCCCAGCCCUGGGAACACACCCCAGCCCUGUCCAGCUCCUCUCACCCCCACCACACAGGGGGGCAUUUCUGCUCCUCCCCAGGAAGGGAUUCCAGGCUGCCAGGCUGGUGCCUGGCUCUGAACAGUGCAGUUAUUUUGCUGGAAGAAUGGCCCACUAUGACCAGCUCAGUCAGGCGGAUGGCAACGGGCCAGAGGAAUAUUCUGGAAACACCACAGAGGGCUCUGUGACCCAAGUGAAGCUGUCAGGAGACGUUGGCACAGAGCUUGGGUACCUCUGUGCUGUGUUCUCAUCAUGACAGCACCUUCCAGCACCUCAUUUAUCACUGGCUGGGUGCUGCUGCAAGGCUCUGCAUCUGUGCCCCCUCUGGGACCAGGGAACACAGAAAUGAGCCCAAUAUGAGCUGUCAUUUCAGCCCUGAAAUCCCAGCUUCCCCCCACCUCUCUGAAAGCCAGGUGGAGCUUAAGGAAAAGCUGAGCUCAAGUCAGAAAAGCCUGGAUCACUGCUGUGGACUGUUCUGCUCCACAGCAGCUGCCCAGUGAGCACUGCAGCACUGAAUGAAGCCUGUUGUCAGCCCGAGGGCAGAGAACAAUAAAAACAAAAUCAUCUGUCAAGGGUCCUGCUGCUUUCUGGCUGUACCUCUCAUCAAAAUCACUGCCCAGCACCAGACAUGAAAAGGUUUUGCCUGACCAGAUGUGACAGAAUCCUCACAGCCACUGAGCCCAGUGACUCCCAGAGAGCUCUGCACAGUCAUUGUCCCUCACAGCAGUGUGUCAGCAAUUAAAUCACUUGUUUUAAAUUACCCACACACACAGUUUCUAUGUGUCAUUAAAAAUCUGCAAACUGCAUCCCUGAUGUAAAAAUAUAAAAAAUAAAA